rnacentral:rRNA from 1 species
UACAGAGGGGGCAAGCGUUGUUCGGAAUUACUGGGCGUAAAGGGCGCGUAGGCGGCCUGCUAAGUCGAACGUGAAAUCCCUGGGCUCAACCCAGGAACUGCGUCCGAUACUGGUUGGCUUGAAUCCGGGAGAGGGACGUGGAAUUCCAGGUGUAGCGGUGAAAUGCGUAGAUAUCAGGAGGAACACCGGUGGCGAAGGCGGGUCUCUGGGCCGAUACUGACGCUGGAGGAGCGAAAGCGUGGGGAGCGAACAGG